rnacentral:rRNA from 1 species
UACGGGGGGGGCAAGCGUUGUUCGGAAUUACUGGGCGUAAAGGGCUCGUAGGCGGCCAACUAAGUCAGACGUGAAAUCCCCAGGCUCAACCUGGGAACUGCGUCUGAUACUGGAUGGCUUGAAUCCGGGAGAGGGAUGCAGAAUUCCAGGUGUAGCGGUGAAAUGCGUAGAUAUCAGGAGGAACACCGGUGGCGAAGGCGGGUCUCUGGGCAUUAACUGACGCUGAGGAGCGAAAGCAUGGGGAGCGAACAGG